rnacentral:tRNA from 1 species
GCCUAUGGUGUAAUUGGCAGCACGACUGAUUCUGGUUCAGUUAGUCUUGGUUCGAGUCCAGGUAGGCCAGCU